AUUGAACGCUGGCGGCAGGCCUAACACAUGCAAGUCGAACGAGUGGCGGAAGGGUGAGUAAUGUAUGGGAAACUGCCUGAUGGAGGGGGAUAACUACUGGAAACGGUGGCUAAUACCGCAUACAAUCGGAUGGGCCCAGAUGGGAGUAGCUUGUUGGUGGGGUAACGGCUCACCAAGGCGACGAUCCCUAGCUGGUCUGAGAGGAUGACCAGCCACACUGGAACUGAGACACGGUCCAGACUCCUACGGGAGGCAGCAGUGGGGAAUAUGGCACAAUGGGCGCAAGCCUGAUGCAGCCAUGCCGCGUGUAUGAAGAAGGCCUUCGGGUUGUAAAGUACUUUCAGCGGGGAGGCGUUACCCGCAGAAGAAGCACCGGCUAACUCCGUGCCAGCAGCCGCGGUAAUUC
rnacentral:rRNA from 1 species